rnacentral:rRNA from 1 species
CGGGGAAUCUUGCGCAAUGGGGGAAACCCUGACGCAGCGACGCCGCGUGGGCGAAGAAGGCCUUCGGGUUGUAAAGCCCUGUUGGUAGGAAAGAAGAUCUGACGGUACCUACUGAGGAAGCCCCGGCUAACUCCGUGCCAGCAGCCGCGGUAAGACGGAGGGGGCAAGCGUUGUCCGGAAUUACUGGGCGUAAAGGGCGCGUAGGCGGCUUGUUAAGUCGGUUGUGAAAGCCCCGGGCUCAACCCGGGGAGGCCAGCCGAUACUGGCGGGCUUGAGUGCAGGAGAGGGAAGUGGAACUGCCGGUGUAGCGGUGGAAUGCGUAGAUAUCGGCAGGAACACCCGCGGCGAAGGCGGCUUCCUGGACUGUUACUGACGCUGAGGCGCGAAAGCCAGGGGAGCGAAUGG